rnacentral:other from 1 species
CGAGUCCUGCUGUGUGCGUGUUGUCCGUAAGGACUUGCGGCCCAUAAAACCCACAUCUCUCAUAAGGGAUGCCGAUUUGAAUCUGCGGAUUGCAGGCCUCCCGGCUCCGGCCGGACGUUGGAAGCAGUGAAACAGAACUUAGGCGACCCACCUGCUCUUUUGUGCAGGUUGUUACUGGGCCGGCACGGCAUAAGCGGGAUCUUC